rnacentral:rRNA from 1 species
UACGUAGGGUGCAAGCGUUGUCCGGAAUUAUUGGGCGUAAAGAGCUCGUAGGCGGUCUGUCGCGUCGGCUGUGAAAACUCGGGGCUCAACCCCGAGCCUGCAGUCGAUACGGGCAGACUAGAGUGCGGUAGGGGAGACUGGAAUUCCUGGUGUAGCGGUGAAAUGCGCAGAUAUCAGGAGGAACACCCAUUGCGAAGGCAGAUCUCUGGGCCGUAACUGACGCUGAGGAGCGAAAGCAUGGGGAGCGAACAGG